rnacentral:lncRNA from 1 species
AAUCAGAAGAGAAGAAUAUGAUGGAAAAAAAAAGAAAAUCUAGUUAUUUUGGAGCUGGCACCACAAAGAAGGAAAAGGAAAGUGAUGGUGGAUAUAAGUAACAUAAGAAGGAAAGGCAAUGUGGAAUACCUGGGACAUCUCAGAGGAAGGAUUUUGUGACUGAGACAACAAAAUAACUUCAACAUAUAGGAUGUGCAUAAAGACAAUGUAGAUACAAUUCAAGGAAGUUUUAACAAACAGUUUGUUCUUUAUCAAAGCACCCACUGUUGGAUCGGAAGGGAAAUAUUUGUGGUAAGACUCCAAAUUUGCAUGUGUUUUUCUUUUUUUCUCUUUUUUCUAACAAUCUUCUUCCACACUCCAGAAUUAGGAGAAAUGGCUCAAUGAAGCUAUGGUCCCCUAUUUCUAAGGUAACUAGUAAAGGUAGCAUUACUGGCAUAAGGUUCCUCAUCCAGCCAUACCUUAGUACAGCAAGUCACAAGUGUCCUUUCCCCUAAUAAUCAUAAUGGAAAAGGCAAAUGUAAAUAACACCAGGGGAGAUGGAUCUACAUAUGGUGUGUGAUUCGAUUUUUCUUUAAUUUCUUUAUGGAAAAUGUA